rnacentral:lncRNA from 1 species
GGACUUUUUACCUGGAUAUAGUACGCCCACAUAUCCCGCCCACGGUACAGGUGGCUCCGCGGUGGCGCCCCCAGGUUCGAUGACGAAUUCCGGACGAGUCCCGCCAUUCCCCGCCCCGAAAGGUCACGCAAACACACGGUGUAUGUCUGUGAAGCACUCAGCCCUCCCAAUUUGGCCUGACCGGCAAGGCAGCCGAAAGGCACCGGUAAUGCCCCAAUCUCUCUCUCACCCGAGGUCUCUGGCGUGAUGCUUUGGGCUUACACGGCCAUCUAUUUAUAGAGGAGGGUGAGUCCGCGUAGAGGGAAAUUCGUUGGCGGGGAAGGGAAGACCCCGAGAUCUCCUGCGACGGUCAUGGCAGCCACUAGAGGUUGAGCGAUUUCCGCCCAAGGCCAAUGCCAGAGAUCCCGGUGGCUUCUGUUGAAGCACGGCGAUCCCGGGGCGGUGAAGACCACCCAGGCGAGCUACAGGCUGACUCCGCGCGGGCGGUUGCCGGGCAGCGCGGAUUCGUUGCGAGGUUCACGGCGUGGGUUGCACAUCAAAACGGCAUUCCGAUCUCUACGGCCUCCACCGCGUUCAUGGUGGAAGGAGGCUUCUGCGCGACAGGGCCCAAACGGCAGAGACCGGGUCAGUGUUGUUUUUCUGCGGAUGGUCCAAGGAGUGGGGUCGAUCCGGUAGCGUUCGGCCCGUGAUUCCUGGUGGCAGCAACACAUUCAGCCGAGUCUGCGUGACUUUCGCGCGAGAUGGGGAAGACGCACCCGACCAGCGGGUCCCACACGCACGUGGCUAUGCGCAAAAGGAAGGGCUGGCACGGUGGGGCCUGGGGCAGCGACCAGGUGAACGCCCGAGCAACGUGCAUGGCUGGCAUCGUUAUCACGUCAAAGCGACAAGCAGGAAAUGAUAGACUCGUUUUUUUUGCUUGCUUGAUGUUAGUAUGACAUAUAUGCGGCAAGAUGAAAUAAUAAAAUAAAAUAAAAAGAAGGGAUGUGGCUACGGUAUUUGGAAAGGCUAGUGGGCGUUUGGGGAAAAGUCGACCUAGGCAACAUUUUUUUCUGUUUAAAUUUUCAACUUCAAAUUAGACUCAAGUUCAAUCUAUCAAAUUCAAAAUGCAGCAAACAAAGAUUUCAGCAUGCAAUGUUUUAAUUUUUUGAUCUAUUAUUCUAUUCGUUAUUUAGUCCAAAUGUUUGCAAAUAUGUAAUGCACAUAUUAUUUUAAGAGAAUAUUGUUUUUUAUGUGUAACAAAACUGGAAGAUCAUACACGUUUUCAUAUUCAUUACGACUCUUAAUUUAAGAGAAAAUAUGUUAUGACGUGAAAUAUACUUUUACUUAAAUCUUUUCUUUGAUAUGAUUUCUAAAUAUAUUAUGAAAGGAAUGUUUACUCGUUAAAAGAUCUUUAUUGUAUUAUAAAGCAUAUUUAUUUAGAGCUUUAGAAUAUUUUUUUCCUUACGUCACCCACAAUACGAUUUUGGAGUGUUACAAAUUCUACCCCCUUAAAAAUAAUCUCGUCCUCGAGAUUAGUAUGAAAGGGAUGUGGUCAGGUUGGCGGUUACUUUUAGUUUCUCAAGUAGUUGCAUUACCAAAAGGUUUUCUUAUUCUGGAUCAUAAAUUAGUAGGUGAUUAGGAAAAGCAUAAGUAUUUUUUUAGGCCAUCUAGUAGGCAAGAUUGAGUUAGAUCAGGGAUAGGUUGAGGCUAGAAGGAUUAUGACAAGGAAAGAUUUCAUCCGAAUGUUUAAGUCUUGAUUCAUCUCAAGAUUUGCUUUGACUGUUAUAUCCUUCCUUGUCGAGGUUGAUCUCCUCCUUUCUUUCGGUCUUGGUGUCUCCAUCCGAGCUAGGGAGAUAUAUUUAAGAUGGCUGGGGUAUAUGGGUAGGACAAAAUCUUGUUUAUCAAUAGGUUAGCAUAGCUAGAUGGAUUAUGUAACCUAUUGGGAGUGCAUGGCUGAGUUGAUCUAAGGCACUAACUUAGGCCCAAAACAUGUUUAUAGGGUUUAAUCUAUUUCACUAGUAUUAACUAACCUAUUUAUGUAACUCACUUUAGAUUAGAUCAUAUUAGGUUAGAUGGGAUCUAGAUUAGAUUUGUAUGACUAGUUUGACUAGAUAAGAUCUAAUUAAUUUGCAAUAGAUCAUGGUUGUUAAACUAGGGUGGAUAAGUAUGCUUAUUAGGAUAAGAUGGAUCUAUGAGUGUAGGGUGGAAUCUUUUAAGAUGAUAUGUAUAUUGUUAGGCUAGAUACUUUAAUGAGAGAUAGUCUAAUUUGUCUAGUUAUCUUUUAUAUGCAUUUCCUUUUAUGCCUAGAUGUAUAUGCAGAUGCAAUUAUGGAUAUUACUCCACAACUCAUCACACUCAAUCAAAGAUCGAAUCAAGCAGUUAUCACAAGAACAAACACUCAAGCAUGCAAAUAUUUACAGAAAUAGUUUUGAUUUUGUUCCUAAGAUUAGGUUUCCUAUUCCUAAAAGUCACUUUAGGUAUAGGAUUUCAAAGUGCGAAAUCCACAUUUGUCUUUAGAAGGAAAAGGUAAGAAUAAUCAGAGUAAAUCAGAAAUAGAUGAGAAAAGAUUAAGAAAAGUUUAGAAAGAAUCAGAGUAGCGAAGGUAAGUAAGUAAUGGUUGUCCAGUUCUAUCUAGGUUUUGUCCUACAGUCAACAUUCCUCUGAUACCACUUCUGUCACACCCGAGUUUUAGGGGCACCAAGACCCGGGCGCGAACAUAAUCACCAGGUGUGCUGGGACCAAGUCUCACACAUAUGAUGAAUCAUGGCACAAGAUUGAAUGUCACAUCUUUACUAUAUAAUAGGAGUUCUAUACAAAAUAAAUAAAUAAUUACAUUAUAAGGAGACAACAGUCCAGCAACCCAAAGUUGACUGGGAGACGAUGGCCUAGACCUCUCACGAACACAUCGCAACAUCCUCCAUGGGCCUCAUCCUGGGGUACCUGUUCUUGACCUGUGGGGGGUGUGAGACAGCAAGAGUGAGCUCACAUACGUUCAUCGCUCAACAAGUUGUGGGGAAUAAUGUGCAUGAACUCGCCAAAGGUGGGAGCUCACGUGAAGUGUAAGGCUUACCAAAGAAGAUGGUUAGAGCUGAGCAUUGCUUUUAAAGUUGAUCAAAAUUUUAUUAGCAGUUACUAAGUAUAAGUAAAUACCAACCCAAUUAAGUAGUAGAACAACAGUAACAACAUCACCUGCGGUGCAAUGCAUAUGACAAAUUGAAUUUAGUUCCAUAGAUUAAUCAUGUGAGUGUCCGAGCUGCUCAUGACCGUGAGCACAGCUAGUAUACCAGUUUUACACUCUGCAGAGGUUGCGCAUCUUUACCCACAAGUCAUGUUACCCAUCUGCCAAGAGACGACCAAUCCCAUACACCUCUACCGAGGAGGCGAGGCAGGGUAACACUAUGAGGCCUUUACAAAGUUCCACUAGCUUCAGAAAACCCGCUACAGUUUAUAGGAAGCUCCAGUGCAGGAGUCCCUCGACUGACCACCAUCGCAGCAAAAUCAACCAAGGACCUCCCUACACUGACCACUCCCCUACUGCCCUUGCCCCUUUCGGGUAAGGUAAUCAUCCACUAGCUUUUCUAGUUAAUCAGCCAAGGGCGUCCAUAAACCCUUGUGGUAGCACUGUUUUCCCGGGUGGUUCUCCAUGUUCCGAUUAACAUAAUGAUCUUAUCAUGAACAGUAAAUAAUGAACAAAUAAUAAAAAGUGUAAUCAUGAGUAGUGAAUAUCUCUAUACCCAAAACCACAUAAAGCAAUAGCAUGUACUACCCAAAAAGUUCAGUGGAGUCAAGGUAUAAAGAUAAUCAAACUAGGGUAACCUGUUGGGUCCCAUCAAAAUUAACCUAUGCAGAUCAUUAUGAUUAAUCAGAACAUGACUGGGUAAAAAGAAGUGAUCAAGGGCACAACUUGCCUGGGACUUGAGAUUCCAGGUACCAACUUGCUCUUCAUAUGACUCGUGACCUCACGCUAGUCGUAGCAGUACAAACAAAGAUGUGUAGGCAAAAUUAACAUCACACCAAACAUGAGAAUAAAUUGUGUACUAAUAAUCUACGCGAAGCUACGAGAUCGGGGGAUCGAGAAUCAACAAAAUCGGAGCUACGGUUAUCGAGUUACGAAUUUCUGGGGUUAUUGAGUACAUGGUAUAGAUUAAUUCAGAUAAAUAAUUUUAAUUCAUAUUUCAUUGCUAAACAGAGGUACUAAGUGGUAGACAAUGUUAAAACAAAAUUAAUACAACUGGAAUGACUUAAUUUGGAGUUGAAAUGAAUUUAAUAUGAAUUAUAUAAGUUUAUGGAAUUAUUUUCAUACUAAAAACCUAUUUCUUUAUUAAUUUCUGAAUAUUCUAAGUGUUCUGGACUGGGCACAAUAUUUCUUAAAAGAUCAGGGGUCUAAAUCACAAUUUUCCCAAGACUCAGUAUUCCCACAGUGUGGACUGCGGGUUGACUUAGGAAAAAAAAUGGAGGGGUUCUUUUAUAAUUUAGCCGCGGCCAAGGGGUACGUGCCAAUCUGCGCCAUCCGAUCAAGAGUGGGCAGCCCAGAUUAAAUCCCCAUAUAAGUGAGUCGGUACACGCAUCUGCGACCGCACGCUCCGCAAUCAACGGCCCAGCAAUAGCCACGCCAUGAUCACGCCAGAACAGCCCGGAUCCGUUGGUUUGGUUAUCAACGGUUCAGAUCAAUCCGCAUGAAGAGGUAUCCUCAGCUUCUAAUCUGGCGCGCUAGCAUAAGAUCCAACGACGGCUGUUCAAACCCCCCCAUGGCGGAGCCAUGGCCGGCCAUGGCUGUCCCGCACCAUGGUGCUUCAAGUUCAAAACUGAAUGCCGCCAAAUCGUAUGGAGGACAAAGCGAAGGUGCCAGGAGACUUUUUACCUGGAUAUAGUAUGCCCACAUAUCCCGCCCACGGUACAGGUGGCUCCGCGGUGGCGCCCCCAGGUUCGGUGACGAAUUCCGGACGAGUCCCGCCAUUCCCCACCCCGAAAGGUCACGCAAACACGCGGUGUAUGUCGGUGAAGCACUCAGCCCUCUUAAUUUGGCCUGACCGGCAAGGCAGCCAAAAGGCACCAGCAAUGCCCCAAUCUCUCUCUCACCCGAGGUCUCUGGCGUGAUGCUUUGGGCUUACGCGGCCAUCUAUUUAUAGAGGAGGGUGAGUCCGCGUAGAGGGAAAUUCGUUGGCGGGGAAGGGAAGACCCCGAGAUCUCCUGCGACGGUCAUGGCGGCCACUAGAGGUUGAGCGAUUUCCGCCCAAGGCCAAUGCCAGAGAUCCCGGUGGCUUCUGUUGAAGCAUGGCGAUCCCGGGGCGGUGAAGACCACCCAGGCGAGCUACAGGCUGACUUCGCGCGGGCGAUUGCCGGGCAGCGCGGAUUCGUUGUGAGGUUCACGGCGUGGGUUGCACAUCAAAAUGGCAUUCCGAUCUCUACGGCCUCCACCGCGUUCAUGGUGGAAGGAGGCUUCUGCGCGACAGGGCCCAAACGGCAGAGACCGGGUCAGUGCUGUUUUUCUGCGGAUGGUCCAAGGAGUGGGGUCGAUCCGGUAGCGUUCGGCCCGUGAUUCCUGGUGGCAGCAACACAUUCAGCCGAGCCUGCGUGACUUUCGUGCGAGAUGGGGAAGACGCACCCGACCAGCGGGUCCCACACGCAUGUGGCUAUGCGCGAAAGGAAGGGCUGGCAUGGUGGGGCCUAGGGCAGCGACCAGGUGAACGCCCGAGCAACGUUCAUGGCUGGCAUCGUUAUCACAUCAAAGCGACAAGCAGGAAAUGAUCGACUCGUUUUUUUGCUUGCUUGAUGUUAGUAUGACAUAUAUGCGGCAAGAUGAAAUAAUAAAAUAAAAUAAAAAGAAGGGAUGUGGCUACGGUAUUUGGAAAGGCUAGUGGGCGUUUGGGGAAAAGUCGACCUGGGCAACAUUUUUUCUGUUUAAAUUUUCAACUUCAAAUUAGACUCAAGUUCAAUCUUUCAAAUUCAAAAUGCAGCAAACAAAGAUUUCAGCAUGCAAUGUUUUAAUUUUUUGAUCUAUUAUUCUAUUCGUUAUUUAGUCCAAAUGUUUUCAAAUAUGUAAUGCACAUAUUAUUUUAAGAGAAUAUUGUUUUUUUAUGUGUAACAAAACUGGAAGAUCAUACACAUUUUCAUAUUCAUUACUACUCUUAAUUUAAGAGAAAAUAUGUUAUGACCUGAAAUAUACUUUUACUUAAAUCUUUUCUUUGAUAUGAUUUCUAAAUAUAUUAUGAAAGGAAUGUUUACUCGUUAAAAGAUCUUUAUUGUAUUAUAAAGCAUAUUUAUUUAGAGAUUUAGAAUAUUUUUUUUCCUUACGUCACCCACAAUACGAUUUUGGAGUGUUACAUCGGGCUAGGCGAGAUCGUGUCCCUUGAGUGGGCGGAGCUUUGACCUGUAUUGCGCCCAUCAGGCCUUUGUAGCUUUGUGCUGAUGGUGGUUAUCAGUCGAGUUUAGGAGUCUUGGGGGUACCCCUAAUUAUGGUCCCCGACAAUAGUGUUAUUGAAAGUCGCCUAGAGGGGGGUGAAUAGGCGUAAUCUGAAAUUUACAACUUUAAACACACUACAAGCCGGGAUU